GGGGAAUAUUGGACAAUGGGGGCAACCCUGAUCCAGCCAUGCCGCGUGAGUGAUGAAGGCCUUAGGGUUGUAAAGCUCUUUCGCUAGGGAAGAUAAUGACGGUACCUAGAGAAGAAGCCCCGGCUAACUUCGUGCCAGCAGCCGCGGUAAUACGAAGGGGGCUAGCGUUGUUCGGAAUUACUGGGCGUAAAGCGCACGUAGGCGGACAUUUAAGUCAGGGGUGAAAUCCCAGGGCUCAACCCUGGAACUGCCUUUGAUACUGGGUCUCUUGAGUACGAGAGAGGUGAGUGGAAUUCCGAGCGUAGAGGUGAAAUUCGUAGAUAUUCGGAAGAACACCAGUGGCGAAGGCGGCUCACUGGCUCGUAACUGACGCUGAGGUGCGAAAGCGUGGGGAGCAAACA
rnacentral:rRNA from 1 species